GUGUAAGAUUAAGGUCACAAAGAAACUUCUGUGGAGUUGGCACAUCAUCUGUGGUUUCAUCAAGACAAGAAUAAGAUAUCAGGUGGUCUAUACAUAGACGCCUACUUUAUCUUAAAGGAAUGCCUGUAUUUAUCCCAAGGGAGGAUCCAGGGUUGGAAAUCAACGGAUUAGACUCCAUACUCGAGCUAUCAA